AAUGAACGCUGGCGGCAGGCCUAACACAUGCAAGUCGAGCGGAGCGGCGGACGGGUGAGUAAUGCCUAGGAAUCUGCCUGGUAGUGUGGGAUAACGUCCGGAAACGGGCGCUAAUACCGCAUACUAUCAGAUGAGCCUAGGUCUGAUUAGCUAGUUGGUGGGGUAAAGGCCUACCAAGGCGACGAUCCGGAACUGGUCUGAGAGGAUGAUCAGUCACACUGGAACUGAGACACGGCCAAGAUCCCUACGGGAGGCAGAAGUGGGGAAUAUUGGACAAUGGGAGAAGGCCUGAGCCAGACAUGCCGCGUGUGUGAAGAAGGUCUUCGGAUUGUAAAGCACUUUAAGUUGGGAGGCGUUACCAACAGAAUAAGCAACGGCUAACUUCGUGCCAGCCGCCGCGGUAAUUC
rnacentral:rRNA from 1 species